ACGAACGCUGGCGGCAUGCCUAACACAUGCAAGUCGAACGAGACCUUCGGGUCUAGUGGCGCACGGGUGCGUAACGCGUGGGAAUCUGCCCCUCGGUUCGGAAUAACAGUUAGAAAUGACUGCUAAUACCGGAUAAUGACGUAAGUCCAAAGAUUUAUCGCCGAGGGAUGAGCCCGCGUAGGAUUAGCUUGUUGGUGGGGUAAUGGCCCACCAAGGCGACGAUCCUUAGCUGGUCUGAGAGGAUGAUCAGCCACACUGGGACUGAGACACGGCCCAGACUCCUACGGGAGGCAGCAGUGGGGAAUAUUGGACAAUGGGCGAAAGCCUGAUCCAGCAAUGCCGCGUGAGUGAUGAAGGCCUUAGGGUUGUAAAGCUCUUUUACCAGGGAUGAUAAUGACAGUACCUGGAGAAUAAGCUCCGGCUAACUCCGU
rnacentral:rRNA from 1 species